rnacentral:rRNA from 1 species
GAACGCUGGCGGCGUGCCUAAUACAUGCAAGUCGAGCGAACUGAUUAGAAGCUUGCUUCUAWGACGUUAGCGGCGGACGGGUGAGUAACACGUGGGCAACCUGCCUGUAAGACUGGGAUAACUUCGGGAAACCGAAGCUAAUACCGGAUAGGAUCUUCUCCUUCAUGGGAGAUGAUUGAAAGAUGGUUUCGGCUAUCACUUACAGAUGGGCCCGCGGUGCAUUAGCUAGUUGGUGAGGUAACGGCUCACCAAGGCAACGAUGCAUAGCCGACCUGAGAGGGUGAUCGGCCACACUGGGACUGAGACACGGCCCAGACUCCUACGGGAGGCAGCAGUAGGGAAUCUUCCGCAAUGGACGAAAGUCUGACGGAGCAACGCCGCGUGAGUGAUGAAGGCUUUCGGGUCGUAAAACUCUGUUGUUAGGGAAGAACAAGUACRAGAGUAACUGCUYGUACCUUGACGGUACCUAACCAGAAAGCCACGGCUAACUAC